UACGUAGGCAGCAAGCGUUGUUCGGAGUUACUGGGCGUAAAGAGUGCGUAGGUGGUGCCCUAAGUCUGUUGUGAAAUCUCCCGGCUUAACUGGGAGGGUGCGGUGGAAACUGGGGUGCUUGAGUGUGGGAGAGGUAAGCGGAAUUCCGUGGUGUAGCGGUGAAAUGCGUAGAUAUCAGGAGGAACACCGGUGGUGUAGACGGCUUACUGGACCACGACUGACACUGAGGCACGAAAGCGUGGGUAGCAAACAGG
rnacentral:rRNA from 1 species